CCUACGGGAGGCAGCAGUGAGGAAUAUUGGUCAAUGGACGCAAGUCUGAACCAGCCAAGUAGCGUGCAGGAUGACUGCCCUAUGGGUUGUAAACUGCUUUUAUAAGGGGAUAAAACGAGGCACGUGUGCCUUUUUGCAUGUACCUUAUGAAUAAGGAUCGGCUAACUCCGUGCCAGCAGCCGCGGUAAUACGGAGGAUCCGAGCGUUAUCCGGAUUUAUUGGGUUUAAAGGGAGCGUAGGCGGUUUCUUAAGUUAGUUGUGAAAGUUUGCGGCUCAACCGUGGAAUUGCAGUUGAUACUGGCAGGCUUGAGUGCAGUUGAGGUAGGCGGAAUUCGUGGUGUAGCGGUGAAAUGCUUAGAUAUCACGAAGAACCCCGAUUGCGAAGGCAGCUUACCAAACUGUGACUGACAUUGAUGCUCGAAAGUGUGGGUAUCAAACAGGAUUAGAUACCCUUGUAGUC
rnacentral:rRNA from 1 species